CAACAUGGAAUAACCAGGACAACAGAGAGGUUAGGGAGAACAACAUGGAAUAACCAGGACAACAGAGAGGUUGGGGAGAACAACAUGGAAUAACCAGGACAACAGAGAGGUUGGGGAGAACAACAGAGAAUAACCAGGACAACAGAGAGGUUGGGGAGAACAACAGGGAAUAACCAGGACAACAGCAUUUGGGGAGAACAACAGAGAAUAACCAGGACAACAGAGAGGUUGGGAAGAACAACAGAGAAUAACCAGGACAACAGAGAGGUUGGGGAGAACAACAUGGAAUAACCAGGACAACAGAGAGGUUGGGGAGAACAACAUGGAAUAACCAGGACAACAGAGAGGUUGGGGAGAACAACAUGGAAUAACCAGGACAACAGAGAGGUUCGGGAGAACAACAGGGAAUAACCAGGACACCAGAGAGGUUGGGGAGAACAACAUGGAAUAACCAGGACAACAGAGAGGUUAGGGAGAACAACAUGGAAUAACCAGGACAACAGAGAGGUUGGGGAGAACAACAUGGAAUAACCAGGACAACAGAGAGGUUGGGGAGAACAACAGAGAAUAACCAGGACAACAGAGAGGUUGGGGAGAACAACAUGGAAUAACCAGGACAACAGAGAGGUUGGGGAGAACAACAGAGAAUAACCAGGACAACAGAGAGGUUGGGGAGAACAACAUGGAAUAACCAGGACAACAGAGAGGUUGGGGAGAACAACAUGGAAUAACCAGGACAACAGAGAGGUUGGGGAGAACAACAUGGAAUAACCAGGACAACAGAGAGGUUGGGGAGAACAACAGAGAAUAACCAGGACAACAGAGAGGUUGGGGAGAACAACAGGGAAUAACCAGGACAACAGCAUUUGGGGAGAACAACAGAGAAUAACCAGGACAACAGAGAGGUUGGGAAGAACAACAGAGAAUAACCAGGACAACAGAGAGGUUGGGGAGAACAACAUGGAAUAACCAGGACAACAGAGAGGUUGGGGAGAACAACAGAGAAUAACCAGGACAACAGAGAGGUUGGGGAGAACAACAUGGAAUAACCAGGACAACAGAGAGGUUGGGGAGAACAACAGAGAAUAACCAGGACAACAGAGAGGUUGGGGAGAACAACAUGGAAUAACCAGGACAACAGAGAGGUUGGGGAGAACAACAGAGAAUAACCAGGAAAACAGAGAGGUUGGGGAGAACAACAUGGAAUAACCAGGACAACAGAGAGGUUGCAGGGAGGGAUGGAGAGUGGAGGUAGAGAAAGAGAUAUUGUGGAAGGUUUGGAUGAAGGGGAGUGACUGAUGUGGUGAGGGUGGAGGAAAGGGGGGCAAUUAUGCUUCGGCGUCGCCACGUAGCUUCAGCCGCUAGCUCGAGUCUUAUGGGAUGGACGUGUGUUACACCAGGCUGUUUGAAUAGCUGAGAACAGGUGUCACCUCUCUGUUUAAUCAACCUGACUGGAGGCUGUGUGUCUGGGAGAG